UUCCUGGUGGUACAGUGGUUAGGACUUGGUACUUUCACUGCUGUGGCCCUGGGUUCAAUCCCUGGUCAGGGAA
rfam:Ovis aries breed Texel chromosome 2, whole genome shotgun sequence.